GUGAAUAUAGUUUAUUAAAAUUCUAGUUUGUGAUUCUAGAGAUGGGGAUUAACCACCCCCUAUUCACC
rnacentral:tRNA from 1 species